rnacentral:rRNA from 1 species
UACAGAGGGGACAAGCGUUGUUCGGAAUUACUGGGCGUAAAGGGCGCGUAGGCGGCCUUCUAAGUCGAACGUGAAAUCCCCGGGCUCAACCCGGGAACUGCGUCCGAUACUGGAAGGCUUGAAUCCGGGAGAGGGAUGCGGAAUUCCAGGUGUAGCGGUGAAAUGCGUAGAUAUCUGGAGGACACCGGUGGCGAAGGCGGCAUCCUGGACCGGUAUUGACGCUGAGGCGCGAA